GACGAACGCUGGCGGCGUGCCUAAUACAUGCAAGUUGAGCGCUGAAGGUUGGUACUUGUACCAACUGGAUGAGCAGCGAACGGGUGAGUAACGCGUGGGGAAUCUGCCUUUGAGCGGGGGACAACAUUUGGAAACGAAUGCUAAUACCGCAUAAAAACUUUAAACACAAGUUUUAAGUUUGAAAGAUGCAAUUGCAUCACUCAAAGAUGAUCCCGCGUUGUAUUAGCUAGUUGGUGAGGUAAAGGCUCACCAAGGCGAUGAUACAUAGCCGACCUGAGAGGGUGGUCGGCCACAUUGGGACGGAGACACGGCCCAAACUCCUACGGGAGGCAGCAGUAGGGAAUCUUCGGCCAUGGACGAAAGUCUGACCGAGCAACGCCGCGUGAGUGAAGAAGGUUUUCGGAUCGUAAAACUCUGUUGGUAGAGAAGAACGUUGGUGAGAGUGGAAAGCUCAUCAAGUGACGGUAACUACCCAGAAAGGGACGGCUAACUACGUG
rnacentral:rRNA from 1 species